AUUGAACGCUGGCGGCAGGCUUCACACAUGCAAGUCGAGCGGAGUGAUGGUGCUUGCACUAUCACUUAGCGGCGGACGGGUGAGUAAUGUUUAGGAAUCUGCCAUUUAGUGGGGGACAACAUUCCGAAAGGAAUGCUACUACCACAUACGUCUGACGGGAGAAAGCAGGGGUUCGUCGGACCGUGCGCUAAAUGAGACGCCUAAGUCGUAUUAGCUAGUUGGUGGGGUAAAGGCCUACCAAGGCGACGAUCUGUCGCGGGUCUGAGAGGAUGCGCCGCCACCAUGGGGCUGAGACACGGCCCAGACUCCUACGGGAGGCAGCAGUGGGGAAUAUUGGACAAUGGGCGGAAGCCUGAUCCAGCCAUGCCGCGUGUGUGAAGAAGGCCUUUUGGUUGUAAAGCACUUUAAGCGAGGAGGAGGCUACUAGUACUAAUACUACUGGAUAGUGGACGUUACUCGCAGAAUAAGCACCGGCUAACUCUGUGCCAGCAGCCGCAGUAAGAC
rnacentral:rRNA from 1 species